UGGCUCAGGCUGAACGCUGGCGGCGUGCUUAACACAUGCAAGUCGAACGGAGUUUUUAAACGGAAGUUCUCGGAUGGAAGUUUAAGAACUUAGUGGCGGACGGGUGAGUAACGCGUGGGUAACCUGCCUCAUACAGGGGGAUAACAGUUAGAAAUGACUGCUAACACCGCAUAAUAUAGUGAAACCGCAUGAUUUUUGCUAUCAAAUAUUUAUAGGUAUGAGAUGGGCCCGCGUCUGAUUAGCUAGUUGGUGGGGUAAAAGCCUACCAAGGCGACGAUCAGUAGCCGGCUUGAGAGAGUGACCGGCCACAUUGGGACUGAGACACGGCCCAAACUCCUACGGGAGGCAGCAGUGGGGAAUAUUGGACAAUGGGGGAAACCCUGAUCCAGCGAACCGCCGCGUGAGUGAAGAAGUAUUUCGGUAUGUAAAGCUCUAUCAGCAGGGAAGAUAAUGACAGUACCUGACUAAGAAGCCCCGGCUAACUACGUGCCAGCCGCAGC
rnacentral:rRNA from 1 species